UGAGACAUAAUUAGCCUAUAAGAACAAAUUCUAAAAGGAGACAUUAUAGAUUCCUUUUAAUGUUUAGUGGUCUGUUAUAUAGAAGAGGGAGUACAUUUGUCCUAUCUUGCCAUUGAAAGAACAGAGCUGGACAAAUACGAGCCAGUUUUAGAAAGAAAGUUUGGGCCCAAUUAAAAAGCUUUAAACAUCUGAGAAUGUCCAAUACAAGAGCAAAAAGCAGUGAGCUCCUUCUCAGUGGAUGUGUUCUAGUUUCUCGGGCAUAAUAGAGAGGGAAUUCUUAUGUCUCUGAGUAUCAUACAGUCCCAAAAUAUUAUGAUUUGGUCUAUUUGAUUCUUUAUAGUUUAUCAACACAAGAAUUUGUGCUAUGUAGCUGGGACUAUAUGGACCAUCAAGUGCCAUAACAUUUUUAUUAUUCUAGGAUGAAGUGGAAAAGACAAGCAGAAUUUACAGUCUUGAAUCCAGUAUGUCCUUUCUAAAUAGUUUGGCUUCUGUGGAAUCUAAAUUAAAAUAUGUAUGAUGGAAAACAGUCUAUUUCUUUGCAUUGUGCUGAUUAGUUUUUCAUUACGUCUACAGCUGAUCCCCACUGCCUAGAGACAUAAAUGCAGUUGACCCUAGAUCAACAUGGGUUACAAAGAUUUUGUUUCUGUCACCGCUACCUAUGAGAUGGCAAGACCAACCCUUCCUCCUCCUCCUCCUUAGCUUUCUUGACAUGAAGAUGAGGAUGAAGAACUUUAUGAUGAUGCACUUCCACUUAAUAAAUGAAGAAAAAUCUGAUUUUACACAUAAUGACUGAUCUUCGCAUCUGAGGACCAAGCUGAGGACCAAACACAUAGACCGUCAAGCUUCAGAUGAUCAUGCUACAAGGGUUUCAGCCAGUUCCAAGUGAAGACACCAUCCUUGGCCAUCAAGGAGCUACUGUGUCUCCACUAGACAGAGCAGGAUGAGAGUUCCGUGAUCCCCAAUAAGUAGGGACUAUGUCCCAAGCCAGCAUGAAGCAGUUACAGAAGAAAGACCAUCAGUCACUCAGCCUCCCAUAAAGAUUAAUGGGGAUCAAGUCUUUCAGUUGGGAGAUGAGGCAGGAGAAUGGGGCCUGGAGGCAGGGAACCUAAGGUCUUCCUAGAACUAAUCAAAUAGAAACUCUUCAGCUAUGACAGGAAAUUUCCUCUUCAUUUACAUA
rnacentral:lncRNA from 13 species